UCAUUAAGCUCCUUGGUAAAUUUAAAUUUUUGUUUAUUCGUAGUGAUAGUACUGCCGUUAUUUGUUAGUACUGCCGUUAGUUUUUUUUUACAUAUUUAAAUAUUGUUUGGCGACUAUUGUGCAAUAAACACAGAGUCUGCUACUCUUGAAAUGACAUAAAGAAAAUUAUUCCAAAUUUAAUAGUAGAAAUUAUGUCAAGGGCUUUUGUUGUUGGUUUCAAUGUUUGGUUAGCAUUGGUUUCUUGCGUGCUGGGGUCGAAUCGUGACAGUCGUUAACGAAACGACAAUCGUUCGAACACAAAUUACGUGAGUCGAUAAUCGAAUGAACGAGUUGGGAUCAUAACAGUCGAAAGAAGACGUAUCGUAAUUGUAAUUUUGUUUAUCGAUUAUUUUUCUCAUCUUCUUCGUUUUUUUAAGUCACAAUAGAAUUUGAAGUGUCAAAAUAAACCGCAGAAAGUAACGAAAAUAUAAAAAGUUUAAAUGGAUCCGAGUAUUUUAUUUUAUUUAAGUUCCAGCGAUGAAGAAAAUAAUGAAAGAGUUGUGCGAAAACAACUUCGAGACAAAAGCAAUCCGCUAGCAUUAUCAAACAAUGCGUAAGUACUUUAUAUAUGACGAAAAAUAAGUAAUAAAAUAUCCUUCGCUUACAGGUUUAUCAAAAGGUUUCGCUUAAGCAAAGAAGCAUUUAAUUAUGUUUUAAAUAACAUAAAUAUAAAUUGCCAAGAGACAAAAGCUGUUCCGGCGGUGCUCCAACUGGCUGCGUGUCUCAGCCUACUCGCAAGUGGUGGCUAUCAGCAUGCAAUAGGCAUGACUAUUUGAUAGGAAUGUGCCAGAGCACUGUCUCGAAAUUAACGGGCAAUGUUUUGGAAAAAAUUGAAGCCAAAUUGUGUCCUAAACAUAUUAAAUUUGAGCCAGAUGAUUCGAGAAGGUGCAAAGAGUGGUUUGUUGAGAACUAUCAAAUUCCAGGAGUGGUUGGAUGCAUUGAUGGCACCCACAUUGGACUACAAAAGCCCACGGUCAACGAGCACAUGUAUUUCAACAGGAAGGGUUUUCAUAGCAUAAAUGCGAUGUUGAUUUGCGACCACACUACGAAAAUUCUCGCAAUAAACUGCCAAUAUGGGGGUGCAGCCCACGACUCAUUCAUAUGGAAGCAUUCAAACGAACGAAUGGUUAUGGAACAUCGUUUUUUGCACAAUAGGAGUCACAAUGCCUAGCUGCUAGGGGACCCUGGAUAUCCACUUGAGCCGUGGUGCAUAACACCGUACAGAAAUCCAUCGGACGGAUCAGGUGAAGCAAGGUUCAAUGAAAUUCAUUCCAAGGCACGGUGCAUCAUUGAACGAACUAAUGGUGUACUGAAAGGUCGGUGGAGAAUCUUAGAAUACAACAAAAGAGGAAGAUAUGAUCCUAUAAAAGUGGCUAGGCUUGCGAAUGUGUGUGCAGCGCUUCACAACAUUUGUAUAAAAUUUAAUGUGAGCUUUACAGCAACAAAUUCAGAGAGUCAAACCGCAUCUGACAUAGUGUCUGGAGAAGGCCAGUAUACUAGAAUCGGCCAAACAAUCAGAGAUCAAAUUAAAAUCUCGUUGAUGAACUCGACAUAACCAUCUUGUUUUCAUAUUGUACUAUUAUGCUUUUGAAGUAUAAUGCUAACCGACCUAAAUAAAAUAAAAUAAAUCGAAACACUAAUGGAUACUUAUUCAAAAUCAAUUUCAUUUAAUGCUUUUUUUUUACUCCAUUUAAAAACGUAAAAUUUAGUUAUUUUA